rnacentral:tRNA from 1 species
GGACCCGUAGCUCAGUUGGAUUAGAGCGUCAGACUACGGAUCUGAAGGUCGGAGGUUCAAGCCCUCUCGGGUCCGCCA